GUCAAGUCAUCAUGGCCCUUACGCCUGGGGCUACACACGUGCUACAAUGGUCGGGACAGAGGGAGGCGAAGUCGUGAGGCGGAGCAAAUCCCAAAAACCCGGCCCCAGUUCGGAUUGCAGGCUGAAACUCGUCUGCAUGAAGUCGGAAUCGCUAGUAAUCGCGGAUCAGCUAUGCCGCGGUGAAUAUGUUCCUGAGCCUU
rnacentral:rRNA from 1 species